UACCAGCACCCCGAGUGGUCGGGACGUUUAUUGGGCCUAAAGCAUCCGUAGCCGGUUCUACAAGUCUUCCGUUAAAUCCAGCUGCUUAACAGAUGGGCUGCGGAAGAUACUAUGGAGCUAGGAGGCGGGAGAGGCAAGCGGUACUCGAUGGGUAGGGGUAAAAUCCGUUGAUCCAUUGAAGACCACCAGUGGCGAAGGCGGCUUGCCAGAACGCGCUCGACGGUGAGGGAUGAAAGCUGGGGGAGCAACCAGGG
rnacentral:rRNA from 1 species